AUGGAAUAAACCAGUAAUCUGUUGGAAAACUAUUUAAUUUUAGCAUGCUUUUUUUUCUAUACACAACAAAGUGCUUGCUUACUUUUCCUGUCAUGAUUUUAAGCGAUUUUUGUCCUUCACACAGCCUGAAAUUAGGCCCUACAGAUAUGCUACUACUUAGUGGUGCUCACAAAGCAUACUGAAGCUAUGGUGCUAAUGGCAUUAGCUUUGCAUGUAAUUGUUUAAAGACUAAACUAUUGGCCAAAUUUAAACUUUAAGCUGAUUCUGGCCCAAAAAACAUCACAGGAGUGAUUUACGACCUUAAAUAACUUUAAUUUUUCAGUCUUGGGAGGCAAAAGUUAGCAUGCAGCUAGCAUGAGUAAAAGUAAGACAAUUUCUUUUUUAUUUAACAGCCCGCAGUAGCAUGGUCGUAAAGCUAAGACAAACUUUUGUCUCACUCCUGUUAAAUACCAGAGUCAGCCGAAUAUAGCGCACAUCUGCUGCCAGCGGUCACGUCUUAAUGUCCGUUAAGAAUAUCAGACGCAUUGGUGUUUGACACAAUUUAUUUAUGAGUUGAAUUUAGCAACGGCUCAGUAUAAUUUGAAAAAUGACCCGUUGCGUUCUCUGGCAACAAGAUACCCAGCUGACUUGGCUAUACAAGGAUUUCAAGCAAAUGAUACUUUGUUUUUCCAGUAUUUAUUACGACCACAGUGACAACUCCAGGCCAACGGUCACAACUGAGCAUGUGUGUGGCUCACUCCGUCAGCUCCAAGCAGCUGGCCCAGAUUGACCCCAGCGGUUUGUGACUAUGAAGAGGCACAAGCAGACAUCUAAUGGGAUGGCAGUAGCAAUGACGGCUGGUGUUUCUUUGCGAUGUAUGGAGGCUGUCUGAUGCUUUUCCAUGUCAUAUUUUUUUAUGCUUGGCCACUGACGAGGGAGGUGAAGGAAUUGACCUGCUGCUGACAGAUGAGUUUUCGGGGAUCCCAAGAAGACACAAACCCAGCAGAAGAUCACAAAUGUAAGCAGAGCGCUGACAUGGACCCCACGCUGUGUGUGGGCAGAGUGCUGCUCGUCAGUGUCUCAGCUGUGGGGGAAACUUGUGAGGGAAAAGGAAAGCCCUCAUUGCACAAAUUUCAUGUGUCUGUGUGCAUGAGCGAGCACUGACGGUUGACAGACAGAGUUGAGGUUGAGAAGACGGUGGUCUUUAUCACACCCACACAUCCUCUAUUUCAAACCUGAUGCUGCUUUACUUGAUUUUGCCAACUUCCACUCACUCUUAAUCUGCCUCACUACAUUUCACACACUUUGUUCUGAACCACACUUAGAAAGUUUCAGAGAGGCAUUACAUCUCCAUCCAUCAAACAUGAUCCUUCAAGUGAUAGACGCCAUUUAUCAUGUGGUUUAAGAUGAAGUAUGUUAAAAUUACAGGGUUACCUCUUUUUUUUUGCUGCUGCUGCUGCUGUUUGUUUGUUUUUCAUAUAUGCUGAUUACCAGUUGCCAUCCAGCAACAUUUGCAGAUGCAGCAAUAAGGAAAUGAACCACUCCCACUAGCACUGCCAAUACUGAAGCCAGUUUUCUUGCCAACAUAUUUCUGUUAAUUAAAAGUGCAGUUUCACUAUUUUGUGAGGACCUUAAUCUUACUGGAAGUCCCAGCUUUGUAUGACUGGUCAUGGGUUCAACUCACAGCAAAAGAGGAUGCAAGACCAUUUAGCAUAAAGGUGAUAUAGUGCUGAACUUUAGCUAGCAGAGGAUAUGGGGACUUAGCAUAAAGCUGCGAAGGCGUUGUUGUUCUCAGCAAGCGGCUGUCCUGGUCGAUAAUUAGGUCAGCACAGCCCUCCUGGGAGGGGAGGGCAGAGGGGACACUGUAGAAACCCCUUAGCCCCAUCACAGCCAGAUGAAAAGAAAACAGUCCCAGUACAGGUUCCACAUGUCGGGGCGAAGGGUAAAAAUGUGUUUUAGAUUUUCCUCCUUCCCUCUCCUCUCUGCUCUUGUUUGAUUCUGAGCUGCAAGGGGAUAACCUCCUAAGAGCUCCUAUAACACCUUGCUAUCUUGGCCUUUAGGUUUUUUUUCCUACAAUAUAUGAGUUUGUGUGCAUACUGCGAUGUGGUCUAGUAUAUCUAUUUCUUCCUUCCUCUGGGUUUUAGCUAAUCCAUUUCUCUAGGCUUCCUUCCCAGAACAGUGAGACGUUUUUAAAGAAAACAGAGCUGAGCAGCACCUUGGAAAUCCCACCAUCUUUCUCAUUAAAGAUGAGGAUGAAGACGAAGUUGAUUUUCCUGAUUCAAUUUAAGCCCAUGAAACUGGACCUUAGCCACGGCACUUCGAGAAAGGGAUGAAAGAGAGACAGCUGGAGA